UUUUGGUACACCAAAUUAAGAGCACACGAAGAUAUAUGAGUGAGGCUACUAUGCUAUCAGAAGCGCGGAGCCUUCCGUGCUUCCAGCUCGUUUUCGAUGUUGCGACUUUCGAAUCGUCGAUCGGCUCCGUUAAACUUGAUCUAGAGUAUUUGGAGUACCUAAAAAAUAAAUUUUAUUAUUUUUCGAUAUCAUUUGCCUAGUGAUCGAAUGGGCUCAAAAUCAACAAAUUUCAACGGCCAUAGUAAGCCGUUUGCAAGUUUAACGGUGUAGAAAUAUCCAAAUCACGUGAAAUUUUAAUAGAAGAUUCUUUAUACUAUAUAAAACAAGAUCAAUAUCUUUGAUUUAAAAUUUUAAUGUCAUAUUAUUACAUUUUAUAAGAUUUUUAUUUUCAGCCGUUGAUUUUGAGUCUCUUCGUUCACUAGGCAAAUGAUAUCGUAAAAUCAUAAAAUUUAUUUUCUAUGUACUUCAAAUACUCUAGAUCAAGCCUAACGGAGCCGAUCGACGAUUCGAAAGUCGCAACAUUGAAAACGAGCUGGAAGCACGGAACCUCACUCAAGAUAUAUUUUAUUUGCAUAAAUUUAAUUGAGGUGGUUGUUUUCAAAAGUAAUAUGGUUGUGUAGGUGGAAGAGGUGGCUAAUAAUAAAUUGUAUAU
rnacentral:lncRNA from 1 species